rnacentral:rRNA from 1 species
GAUGAACGCUGACAGAAUGCUUAACACAUGCAAGUCGACCCGAGUCUUCGGACUUGGGUGGCGCACGGGUGAGUAACGCGUAAAGAACUUGCCUCUUAGACCGGGACAACAUCUGGAAACGGAUGCUAAUACCGGAUAUUAUGGUUUUUUCGCAUGGAGGAAUCAUGAAAGCUAGAUGCGCUAAGAGAGAGCUUUGCGUCCCAUUAGCUAGUUGGUGAGGUAACGGCCCACCAAGGCAAUGAUGGGUAGCCGGCCUGAGAGGGUGAACGGCCACAAGGGGACUGAGACACGGCCCUU